UAGAUAACCUCCACCGAUUUAUGAAAAAAUCCCAUCCAGUCCCUUUUCCAUAGCCUAAAAGCUUUUUUCAUGCCCCCACAAUAACAUAUCUCUUUUCUUUCAAGCUUUCAUUUGAUGAUGUGUACAGUAGUGACAUGUAACUAGGUCGAGUCUAGGAGUCAAUGAAGUUGCUAUGUUGUGAAAAUUUCGGAUAUUCAAGUCUCCCUUAGUAGCAUUUUUUUACAAUUAAAGUCUUUCCAAAAAUAAAAACAUAUAGAAAAUCUCUAAAAAGGGAGGAGACAAGUAAAAAACCCUAUCUCAGAAAAAGAAGAAAAAUGAAAAAAUACAAAAAUAAGAAAAAAUUGUAGU
rnacentral:lncRNA from 1 species